rnacentral:rRNA from 1 species
GACGAACGCUGGCGGCGUGCUUAACACAUGCAAGUCGAACGGUAAGGCCCUUCGGGGUACACGAGUGGCGAACGGGUGAGUAACACGUGGGUGAUCUGCCCUGCACUUCGGGAUAAGCCUGGGAAACUGGGUCUAAUACCGGAUAGGACUCCGGACUGCAUGGUCUGGGGUGGAAAGCUUUUGCGGUGUGGGAUGGGCCCGCGGCCUAUCAGCUUGUUGGUGGGGUGAUGGCCGACCAAGGCGACGACGGGUAGCCGGCCUGGGAGGGUGACCGGCCACACUGGGACUGAGAUACGGCCCAGACUCCUACGGGAGGCAGCAGUGGGGAAUAUUGCACAGUGGGCGCAAGCCUGAUGCAGCGACGCCGCGUGAGGGAUGACGGCCUUCGGGUUGUAAACCUCUUUCAGCAUCGACGAAGCGAAAGUGACGGUAGGUGCAGAAGAAGGACCGGCCAACUACGUGCCAGCCGCCGCCGUAA